rnacentral:sRNA from 1 species
GAGUUGCAAAGACGGGCUAGGCAUCUUGAGAAAAAAUUCCUGGAAAACCCAGACUUAUCUCAGACAGAGGAGAAACUUCGUGGAGCAGUGCUACAUGCACUACGUAAAACUACCUACCAUUGGCAAGAACUGAGCUACACUGAGGGACUGAGCCUGGUGUAUAUGGCAGCAAGACUGGAUGGUGGCUUUGCAGCAGUCUCCAGAGCAUUCCAUGAGAUCCGGGCUCGAAAUCCAGCAUUUCAGCCACAGACUUUGAUGGACUUUGGCUCAGGUACUGGUUCUGUCACCUGGGCUGCUCACAGUAUUUGGGGCCAGAGCCUACGUGAAUAUAUGUGUGUGGACAGAUCAGCUGCCAUGUUGGUUUUGGCAGAAAAACUACUGAAAGGUGGUUCAGAAUCUGGGGAGCCUUAUAUUCCAGGUGUCUUUUUCAGACAGUUUCUACCUGUAUCACCCAAGGUGCAGUUUGAUGUAGUAGUGUCAGCCUUUUCCUUAAGUGAACUGCCCAGCAAGGCUGACCGCACUGAGGUAGUUCAAACCUUAUGGCGUAAGACAGGUCAUUUCCUGGUGAGUUAAAAUUCCUUGUUCUCCUUAAGUCUUAAAGCAGCUUCAUGGAUUUCAUGCCUUUGCUUCUCUCAUUGUCUUUAUUCUUCACCAUUUUUCUCCUUUAUGGAUUUCUUUAUCCCUCUUUGAGGGUCUCCAUCCUGAUUAUAUAAUGCCUAUUUCUUUUUAGGACUCCUCCCUCUAUGAUUGCUCUUACAGAGCUACUGAUAUUUACACUUUCAUGUAAUUUAAGUCUUCUGCGUAUUUUCCCCUUUUGUGAGCAGGUACUGGUGGAGAAUGGAACAAAAGCUGGGCACAGCCUUCU